AGGGGGAGCCCAUCCUCCUCUGGCCAGCACUGUAAACUGUGAGCUAUUUUUAAAUCAGGUAGUCUAGGAAUUCUAGUUUAUAAAGAAUAUUUAAUGGCCAGCAAUUAGGAAAUGAAUAAAUACUAUUUCUCACUGAAAUCUAUAUAAAGUUAACUGCAGACACAUCUCCUAGGUCAGUGGUGGCCAAUCUUAUUCAGAAAGGGCCAGUGUGGGUGUAGGGUUUCAUUCCAAUCAAGCAAAGGCCAUGCCAAGAUCAACAGGUGGAAUUAGGUGUAGCUCCUGCUUGAUUGGAAUGAAAACCUGCACCCAGCAGGUUCCUGCAGCUUGUGGUAUCCUAGGUGAAGGAGUAUAGUAAGAAGGGUGCUGGUUUGUACCAGACAAACUACUGAUGUAUGAGGGUGGAGUGGGAGUUCUUGGGCCUCAGGAUACCAACUGGAGAAGGGGGUUUAUUGCAAGACUUGAAGAUUUGAACCUCAGAAUGAACCGAAUAGAAGCUUGUGGCACCUAGGAUGGCAGGGGUAGGAGAUUGUGGUCCCUAAGAUGGUAGACAUAAGAGCUUGUGGACCUUGGGAUGGACGGAAUAGGGGUUUGUGAACAUUAGGAGGUCAGGAAUAGAAGCUUGCAGCCCCUAGGAUGGCAGGGGGAGGACUAUUUGAACCUCAGAAUGGCACAGGUAGAAGCAUGUGAUCCCUGUAUGUGAUAGGAGCUUACAUGUGGUAAGAGCUUGUGGACUGUUGAAUGGCAGGGGUAUGAGCUUUCGGACCUUUGGAUGGCAGGGGUAGGAGCUUGUUGUCCCCAGCAUGGCAGGGAUAUGAGAUUGUGGAGCUCAGUAUGACAGAAGAAGCAGCCUGAGGUCCUAAGGAUGGUAGAGGUAUGUGCUUAUAGCCCUCGAUAUGGCAGGGGUAGGAGCUUGUGAACCCCAGGAUGGGAAGGGUAGGAGUGUGUGGAUGGCAAGAUUAGAAGCCUGUGUGAAGAUUAGACUCAGUGUGGCAGAAGUAAGAGCGUAAGGGCCU
ensembl:lncRNA